ACUCUUUGACCUGCACCCUGAAAUGCCGGAUCCAAAGUUUUCACAGAGCUAGACAUUGUGCAAAGUCCUCCUUGUUACCACUUCUUUCAACAAAGGGAACUGGAAUGCUGAAGCUCCUAACCUCAGCUAUCUCAAUAUUCUCAAAAACACACCUAUUCCUCCUCUACAGAGAGAUCUAUGCAGCAAAACUCUCCCUCCACAGAGAAGAAAAACCAAAAGGGUAUUCAAAACACAGAAGAAAAAGGGGUUAUGCAAAGCUGGCCAAAUAUGAAAAAGGGGUACACCAAAAAGGAAGUGAAUAA